rnacentral:rRNA from 1 species
CUACGUGCCAGCAGCCGCGGUAAUACGGAAGGUCCAGGCGUUAUCCGGAUUUAUUGGGUUUAAAGGGAGUGUAGGCGGUCUGUUAAGCGUGUUGUGAAAUUUAGGUGCUCAACAUCUACCUUGCAGCGCGAACUGGCGGACUUGAGUGCACGCAACGUAUGCGGAAUUCAUGGUGUAGCGGUGAAAUGCUUAGAUAUCAUGACGAACUCCGAUUGCGAAGGCAGCGUACGGGAGUGUUACUGACGCUUAAGCUCGAAGGUGCGGGUAUCGAACAGGAUUAGAUACCCUGGUAGUCCGCACGGUAAACGAUGGAUGCCCGCUGUUAGCGCCUGGCGUUAGCGGCUAAGCGAAAGCAUUAAGCAUCCCACCUGGGGAGUACGCCGGCAACGGUGAAACUCAAAGGAAUUGACGGGGGCCCGCACAAGCGGAGGAACAUGUGGUUUAAUUCGAUGAUACGCGAGGAACCUUACCCGGGCUUGAAUUGCAGACGCAGGAUACAGAGAUGU